AACGAACGCUGGCGGCAUGCCUAACACAUGCAAGUCGAACGAGACCUUCGGGUCUAGUGGCGCACGGGUGCGUAACGCGUGGGAACCUGCCCUUAGGUUCGGAAUAACUCCCCGAAAGGGGUGCUAAUACCGGAUAAUGUCUUCGGACCAAAGAUUUAUCGCCUUUGGAUGGGCCCGCGUUGGAUUAGCUAGUUGGUAGGGUAAAAGCCUACCAAGGCGACGAUCCAUAGCUGGUCUGAGAGGAUGAUCAGCCACACUGGGACUGAGACACGGCCCAGACUCCUACGGGAAGCAGCAGUGGGGAAUUUUGGAAAAUGGGCGAAGGCCUGAUCCAGCAAGGCCGCGUGAGUGAUGAAGGCCUUAGGGUUGUAAAGCGCUUUUACCCGGGAUGAUAAUGACAGUACCGGGAGAAUAAGCUCCGGCUAACUCCGUG
rnacentral:rRNA from 1 species